GAAGGUGAAGUCGUAACAAGGUCUCCGUUGGUGAACCAGCGGAGGGAUCAUUACUGAGUUUACGCUCUAUAACCCUUUGUGAACAUACCUAUAACUGUUGCUUCGGCGGGCAGGGUCUCCGCGACCCUCCCGGCCUCCCGCCCCCGGGCGGGUUGGCGCCCGCCGGAGGAUAACCAAACUCUGAUUUAACGACGUUUCUUCUGAGUGGUACAAGCAAAUAAUCAAAACUUUUAACAACGGAUCUCUUGGUUCUGGCAUCGAUGAAGAACGCAGCGAAAUGCGAUAAGUAAUGUGAAUUGCAGAAUUCAGUGAAUCAUCGAAUCUUUGAACGCACAUUGCGCCCGCCAGCAUUCUGGCGGGCAUGCCUGUUCGAGCGUCAUUUCAACCCUCAAGCUCUGCUUGGUGUUGGGGCCCUACAGCCGAUGUAGGCCCUCAAAGGUAGUGGCGGACCCUCCCGGAGCCUCCUUUGCGUAGUAACUUUACGUCUCGCACUGGGAUCCGGAGGGACUCUUGCCGUAAAACCCCCAAUUCUCCAAAGGUUGACCUCGGAUCAGGUAGGAAUACCCGCUGAACUUAAGCAUAUCAAUAAGCGGAGGA
rnacentral:rRNA from 1 species